UGUUCCUAGGUCCAGGCCAGAACUUAUGUGAGGCCUGUUCCCCUGAGAAUAUGCUCACAAUCAUCUGUAACGGCUCUCCAGCACCCUGAAACCAUGAUGUACUUGUAGAUAAGAGUUCCUAUAAUUGGAGGCACAGAGCCUGAGAAAACAACAUAACCCAAGGCACAAGAACAAGGCUGAUAGCUUCUUGGCACGUAAUUGUGGUUUAAGGUUUUAUAAACCUUUCCCUCAGAUCAUUAAACGGACUGCUUGCUUGCAUCCCGCCUGACCCGUGUCUUUUCUUUCACUGCGUCUCCGAGCCAUUUUGGGAGCGCGGGCCACUCCCUUCACUUGGCGCCCGAACAGGGACCUGACUGAAGCCCGGGAACAGACUGGUCCUUCGGAGAAAGCAGCCCCCUUGAGAAAGGAGCUCCGCGCUAACGCACAAGGACAUGGGGAAACAAGAGGAAAAGUUAUGGGUCCCAGAAAGGAACAUCAGACCUGUCUCAACAACUAAGCAAAAUGAAAUUGGACGACACACACAACAAGAUGAGACGACCCAGAUGCCAACGACCCUGAGAUGACCAAAUAAGAAGUUACUACAAAACUUGAUUAUGUUAACCAUGUUACAGCUUGUCGAGACUGUGGAGAGUAUAGAACAAUGAUGGGCUUUUAUGCAUAAUCCGCCUUGGGUGAGAAUUGUUACCUGGGGAGAAACAGUACCUGAAAUAAUCAUGGUUGGGAAUGGCUCAAAGUACUUUUGGGAAUCAACUGGAUAUCAAUAGGAACAUUAACAGUUCAAAACCUGUUAAGUUUAAUUUUACAGGAUUGGCAGGUGAUCCUCCGAUUUGCUUUUCCAGAAACACUUCUGUGAAACCCUGCAUCUCAUUGCAAUGGAUUACAAGAACUGUGUAUCUUGUUCCGAACUCUUGGGUUUUGGCUGGAGCACAAACAUUUAACAUAACUAUGUUAGGAAUUCUAGGGAAAGAGCAACAUAAUGGAACAUUGAGAAGAAGUAAAGCACCCUUAUGUCAUAAUAAUAAGUCAUUGGAGUAGUCGAAUGCAUCAGCUACCACCAUUUAUCUAUUGUCAGAUUCCUUAUAGACAAAUAUAUAGUGAUAGUGAAUUGCUCAGAGUUGGACUAGCUAAAAUCCUGAGUCUCCUACUACAUAUGGAGGUUGGGUAAUACCUGAAUGGAUCCCAAAUAAAGGGGAUCCUGAGCUACAAACUUGGAAAGCUAUGGCUGCCUUAGAUAAUGUAACAUUUUUGACUGAUUAUAACCAUACACAAACUCAUGUACAUACCAAUCAAACAGAAACAACCCAAUCAUGGGCAUGCUUAGGGAAUAAUUAUGCAUUUAUGACAGGAAGAGAGGGUAACGUAACUGUCAAUAUAACAGGAGAAGGAUGGAGUAGGAUAUGGAACGUGCCAUGUUUCAGUUGUACUGUUACUGAGUGUAUAGGGCAAAUGGUGAGAAGUCAAGAUGUUGUAAUCAUAAUUACAAGACCUGUAUUUGCCUUAACCCCUGUAAAUGUUUCAGGAUGGUUUGCUUCAUCAGCAGAUCACACGUUUCAUCAACUAAUAUUAAAGACAAGACAAAAACGAUGUAUUAGUUGCAUAGUAUUAGGAAUUACAUCUUAUAUCUCUUAUAUAAUAUAUACAUGCUUAUAUCUCUACUCGCUUCAUCUACUUCUUUAGCAUUAUCUGUAACUUCUAUACAAAAUCAGGUUCACCAAGGUCAUUACUUGGAAGAUCUAUCAACAAAUGUGAGUAAGGCACUACAGAUACAAAACAGAAUUAAUAAUGAUAUUUAUCACAGAGUCAAUGCUCUAAGACAAACUAUUUUAGCCAUAGGAAAUGAAUUGGAUAUUCUGGAAACCAAGAUGACUUUCAGAUGUGGUUAUAGAUUUCACUUUAUAUGCAUUACUCCUGUACCUUAUAAAAGCUCCAAAUAUAAUUGGACUAAUAUAAAAAAUCAUUUAAAUGGAGUUUAGGACAAUGGUGUUAUUGCUCUAGAUAUCGAUGCAUUGAAGCAGAUAGCUGGUGAUAUUGAUAAAGCAUCUAUUGAGAUGUUGAAUCCUACAAAAACAGCUGAUGAGAUCUGGAAGUGGUUUCAGAAUGUUAAUCCUUUUGAAUCUGUAUACCAUUGGCUUAUUGCCUUUGUGUCUGAUCGUUCUUGUUAUUCUCUUUUUGGCUCCUUUACAAUUUCAUUGUAUAUCUACCAGUGUAAAAUGGGUAAAUACUCAACUCCAUUAUCUACAUCUACAACAAAAGAAAGUGGGAGAUGUAGAGGGCUGAGAUGGAGUGUGUUUCUAGGUCCAGGCCAGAACUUAUUUGAGGCCUGUUCCCAUGAGAAUAUGCUCACAAUCAUCUGUAACGGCUCUCCAGGACCCUGAAAACAUGAUGUACUUGUAGAUAAGAGUUCCUAGAAUUGGAGGCACAGAGCCUGAGAAAACAACAACAUACCCAAGUCACAAGGAAUGAGGCUGAUAGCUUCUUGGCAUGCAAUUGUGGUUUAAGGUUUUAUAAACCCUUCCCUCAGAUCAUUAAACGGACUGCUUGCUUGCA